rnacentral:rRNA from 1 species
AUCCGGAAAUUUUUUAGCACAGAGUUUGAUCCUGGCUCAGAUUGAACGCUGGCGGCAGGCCCUACACAUGCAAGUCGAGCGGUAGAGAGAAGCUUGCUUCUCUUGAGAGCGGCGGACGGGUGAGUAAUGCCUAGGAAUCUGCCUGGUAGUGGGGGAUAACGCUCGGAAACGGACGCUAAUACCGCAUACGUCCUACGGGAGAAAGCAGGGGACCUUCGGGCCUUGCGCUAUCAGAUGAGCCUAGGUCGGAUUAGCUAGUUGGUGGGGUAAUGGCUCACCAAGGCGACGAUCCGUAACUGGUCUGAGAGGAUGAUCAGUCACACUGGAACUGAGACACGGUCCAGACUCCUACGGGAGGCAGCAGUGGGGAAUAUUGGACAAUGGGCGAAAGCCUGAUCCAGCCAUGCCGCGUGUGUGAAGAAGGUCUUCGGAUUGUAAAGCACUUUAAGUUGGGAGGAAGGGCAGUAACCUAAUACGUUGCUGUCUUGACGUUACCGACAGAAUAAGCACCGGCUAACUCUGUGCCAGCAGCCGCGGUAAUACAGAGGGUGCAAGCGUUAAUCGGAAUUACUGGGCGUAAAGCGCGCGUAGGUGGUUUGUUAAGUUGGAUGUGAAAUCCCCGGGCUCAACCUGGGAACUGCAUUCAAAACUGACAAGCUAGAGUAUGGUAGAGGGUGGUGGAAUUUCCUGUGUAGCGGUGAAAUGCGUAGAUAUAGGAAGGAACACCAGUGGCGAAGGCGACCACCUGGACUGAUACUGACACUGAGGUGCGAAAGCGUGGGGAGCAAACAGGAUUAGAUACCCUGGUAGUCCACGCCGUAAACGAUGUCAGCUAGCCGUUGGGAGCCUUGAGCUCUUAGUGGCGCAGCUAACGCAUUAAGUGACCGCUUGGGGACCGGC